rnacentral:rRNA from 1 species
UACAGAGGAGCCAAGCGUUGUCCGGAUUGACUGGGCGUAAAGCGCACGCAGGCGGACGCGCGCGUGGGGUGUGAAAUCUCGCCGCUUAACGGCCAGGCGCCAUCCCAUACGGCGGGUCUGGAGUGAUGCAGAGGGCGGUGGAAUUGCCGGUGUAGUGGUGAAAUGCGUAGAGAUCGGGAGGAACACCCAGGGGGAAACCAGCCGCCUGGGCAUCGACUGACGCUGAGGAGCGAAAGCGUGGGGAGCGAACAGG